rnacentral:rRNA from 1 species
CACGUAGGGGGCGAGCGUUGUCCGGAUUUAUUGGGCGUAAAGAGCUCGUAGGCGGCUCGGUAAGUCAGGUGUGAAACCUCCAGGCUCAACCUGGAGACGCCACCUGAUACUGCCGUGGCUAGAGUCCGGUAGAGGAGCGUAGAAUUCCUGGUGGUAGCGGUGAAAAUGCGCAGAUAUCAGGAGGAACUACCGAGCGGCGAAGGCGGCGCUCUGGGCCGGUACUGACGCUGAGGAGCGAAAGCGUGGGGAGCAAACAGG